CCUACGGGUGGCAGCAGUAGGGAAUAUUGCACAAUGGGGGAAACCCUGAUGCAGCAACGCCGCGUGGAGGAUGAAGGUUUUCGGAUUGUAAACUCCUGUUGUUAGAGAAGAUGAUGACGGUAUCUAAAGAAUAAGCACCGGCUAACUCCGUGCCAGCCGCCGCGGUAAUACGGAGGGUGCAAGCGUUACUCGGAAUCACUGGGCGUAAAGAGCGCGUAGGCGGGAUAGCAAGUCAGAUGUGAAAUCCUAUGGCGUAACCAUAGAACUGCAUUUGAAACUGGUAUGCUAGAGUAUGGGAGAGGUAGGUGGAAUUCUUGGUGUAGGGGUAAAAUCCGUAGAGAUCAAGAGGAAUACUCAUUGCGAAGGCGACCUGCUAGAACAUAACUGACGCUGAUGCGCGAAAGCGUGGGGAGCAAACAGGAUUAGAUACCCUUGUAGUC
rnacentral:rRNA from 1 species